rnacentral:rRNA from 1 species
UACGGGGGGGGCAAGCGUUGUUCGGAAUUACUGGGCGUAAAGGGCUCGUAGGUGGCCAACUAAGUCAGACGUGAAAUCCCUCGGCUUAACCGGGGAGCUGCGUCUGAUACUGGAUGGCUUGAGUUCGGGAGAGGGAUGCGGAAUUCCAGGUGUAGCGGUGAAAUGCGUAGAUAUCUGGAGGAACACCGGUGGCGAAGGCGGCAUCCUGGACCGACACUGACGCUGAGGAGCGAAAGCCAGGGGAGCAAACGGG